rnacentral:rRNA from 1 species
CCGACGGCCCCCCUGAACGCUGUCUGAAGUUGCAGUCUGAGACCUAUAACGAAAUUAGUUAAAACUUUCAACAACGGAUCUCUUGGUUCCGGCAUCGAUGAAGAACGCAGCGAAAUGCGAUAACUAAUGUGAAUUGCAGAAUUCAGUGAAUCAUCGAGUCUUUGAACGCACAUUGCGCCCUCUGGUAUUCCGGAGGGCAUGCCUGUCCGAGCGUCAUUGCUGCCCUCAAGCCCGGCUUGUGUGUUGGGCCCCGUCCCCCCCGCCGGGGGGACGGGCCCGAAAGGCAGCGGCGGCACCGCGUCCGGUCCUCGAGCGUAUGGGGCUUCGUCACCCGCUCUAGUAGGCCCGGCCGGCGCCAGCCGACCCCCAACCUUUAAUUAUCUCAGGUUGACCUCGGAUCAGGUAGGGAUACCCGCUGAACUUAAGCAUA